UCCCUGGUGGUCCAGUGGUCAGGAUCUGGCGCUCUCACCGCCAAGGCCCGGGUUCGAUUCUCGGCCAGGGAA